UCUGUCUCAUUAAAAAAUAAAUAAAAAGGAAUCAAUAAUUACUUAUAUAUGUGACUUAAGACAUUUGAUAGAGGGUAAUGACUUUUCCUAAAUUUAGAAGAAGUGGAGAGGAUUUGGCAAGCAACCGUUCUGGGGGAAUCAAAUUGAUAGUUUUAUUUUGAUGAUGCCCUGUAGGUUUUCAAGUGGAAAUGCAGAGGAUGGAGGUAGA